rnacentral:misc_RNA from 1 species
UCCGAUUUAACAUCGGCAGUCUCCCUAGAGUCCCCAACUUAAUGAUGGUAACUAAGGACAGGGGUUGCGCUCGUUGCCGGACUUAACCGAACAUUUCACAACACGAGCUGACGACAGCCAUGCAGCACCUGUCUCCGUGUCCCCGAAGGGAAAACGACAUCUCUGCCGCGGUCACGGGAUGUCAAGACCAGGUAAGGUUCUGCGCGUUGCUUCGAAUUAAACCACAUACUCCACCGCUUGUGCGGGCCCCCGUCAAUUCCUUUGAGUUUUAGUCUUGCGACCGUACUUCCCAGGCGGGACACUUAAUGUGUGAACUUUGGUACUCAGAGGGUUAACUCUCCGAACACCGAGUGUCCAUCGUUUACAGCGUGGACUAC